GGGGUCGUAGCUCAGUUGGUUAGAGCGCCGGCCUGUCACGCCGGAGGCCGCGGGUUCGAGCCCCGUCGACCCCG
rnacentral:tRNA from 1 species